rnacentral:rRNA from 1 species
UACGGAGGGUGCAAGCGUUAUCCGGAUUCACUGGGUUUAAAGGGUGCGUAGGUGGGCAGUUAAGUCAGCGGUGAAAUCUCUGGGCUUAACCCAGAAACUGCCAUUGAUACUAUCUGUCUUGAAUAUCCUGGAGGUGAGCGGAAUAUGUCAUGUAGCGGUGAAAUGCUUAGAUAUGACAUAGAACACCAAUUGCGAAGGCAGCUCACUACGGGGUUAUUGACACUGAGGCACGAAAGCGUGGGGAUCAAACAGG